rnacentral:misc_RNA from 1 species
GACACCAUAUUUUGGCCGAUCCCUGAAAUCAAUAAAUUCUGAAACCGAUCCCCAGCACUGAGUCUCCCUUUGCCAGCCAAUUACAUUUCCGAUCUCUCCUCAAAAGAAAUCAAAUCAAUACUAAGUCCCCAUAUCAUUUAAAGCUUCACCGAUCUCUCAAACCAAUUAUCAAGUCUCCUGACUAGUCAAUUACAUUUUCGAUCUCUCUUGUCAAACGAAAUUGAACCAACAUCAGGCUUUCAUGCCACCAUUCUUAUUGUCGAUCUCCCUUUUAAAAGUUUGGGGAUAAUCGUCUGAUAAAGUUAAGGUUCCAAUCGGUUUAAUGAUGAUUCCAAUCUUAAGUGUUCAAAUC